AAGGAAUGCACGGAAAAAAUGGGAAGCAAAAUUUGCAGAGCAGUUUUUCAAAGAGAAGCUUAAGGAGCAGAGAAAUUUCUUCAAGAACUGCUUCCAUACUCUUGAAAAUGACCAGUGGAUAAAAUGCUUAUUGAAGGAAGAGAUUUCCAAUGCUUCAGACAUAGAAGUGUUUCCAUCAGUUUUCAAAUCUUCGACUUUUGUUUGGCAG